rnacentral:rRNA from 1 species
GACGAACGCUGGCGGCGUGCCUAAUACAUGCAAGUGGGACGCAAGGAAACACACUGUGCUUGCACACCGUGUUUUCUUGAGUCGCGAACGGGUGAGUAACGCGUAGGUAACCUGCCUAUUAGCGGGGGAUAACUAUUGGAAACGAUAGCUAAUACCGCAUAAUAUUAAUUAUUGCAUGAUAAUUGAUUGAAAGAUGCAAGCGCAUCACUAGUAGAUGGACCUGCGUUGUAUUAGCUAGUUGGUAAGGUAAGAGCUUACCAAGGCGACGAUACAUAGCCGACCUGAGAGGGUGAUCGGCCACACUGGGACUGAGACACGGCCCAGACUCCUACGGGAGGCAGCAGUAGGGAAUCUUCGGCAAUGGACGAAAGUCUGACCGAGCAACGCCGCGUGAGUGAAGAAGGUUGUCGGAUCGUAAAGCUCUGUUGUAAGUCAAGAACGUGUGUGAGAGUGGAAAGUUCACACAGUGACGGUAGCUAACCAGAAAGGGACGGCUAACUACGUG